UGUCGGUAAAACUCGUGCCAGCCACCGCGGUUAUACGAGUGACACAAACUAAUAUUCCACGGCGUUAAGGGUGAUUAAAAUAAAUCUUUUUAAAAAUAAAGUUAAGACAACAUCAAACUGUCAUACGUUCCCAUGUUUAAAAACACCACCUACGAAAGUAACUUUAUACAAAAAAGAGUUCUUGAUUUCACGAUAGUUAAGACCCAAACUGGGAUUAGAUACCCCACUAUGA
rnacentral:rRNA from 1 species